AGAACUUAGCAGAGAUGCUUUGGUGCCUUCGGGAACUCUGAGACAGGUGCUGCAUGGCUGUCGUCAGCUCGUGUUGUGAAAUUGGUUGGGUUAAGUCCCGCAACGAGCGCAACCCUUAUCCUUUGUUGCCAGCGGUCCGGCCGGGAACUCAAAGGAGACUGCCAGUGAUAAACUGGAGGAAGGUGGGGAUGACGUCAAGUCAUCAUGGCCCUUACGAGUAGGGCUACACACGUGCUACAAUGGCGCAUACAAAGAGAAGCGACCUCGCGAGAGCAAGCGGACCUCAUAAAGUGCGUCGUAGUCCGGAUUGGAGUCUGCAACUCGACUCCAUGAAGUCGGAAUCGCUAGUAAUCGUGGAUCAGAAUGCCACGGUGAAUACGUUCCCGGGCCUUGUACACACCGCCCGUCACACCAUGGGAGUGGGUUGCAAAAGAAGUAGGUAGCUUAACCUUCGGGAGGGCGCUUACCACUUUGUGAUUCAUGACUGGGGUGAAGUCGUAACAAGGUAGGCGUAGUGCU
rnacentral:rRNA from 1 species